CAGUAGCCGCGGGAAAACGAAGGGGGCUAGCGUUGCUCGGAAUUACUGGGCGUAAAGGGAGCGUAGGCGGACAUUUAAGUCAGGGGUGAAAUCCCAGAGCUCAACUCUGGAACUGCCUUUGAUACUGGGUGUCUUGAGUGUGAUAGAGGUAUGUGGAACUCCGAGUGUAGAGGUGAAAUUCGUAGAUAUUCGGAAGAACACCAGUGGCGAAGGCGACAUACUGGAUCAUUACUGACGCUGAGGCUCGAAAGCGUGGGGAGCAAACAGGAUUAGAUACCCGUGUAGUCCCUGUCUCUUAUAC
rnacentral:rRNA from 1 species